rnacentral:rRNA from 1 species
UGCAGAGGUCCCAAGCGUUGUUCGGAUUCACUGGGCGUAAAGGGUGCGUAGGUGGUGAGUUAAGUCUGUCGUGAAAGCCCCGGGCUCAACCUGGGAAUGGCGAUGGAUACUGGCUCGCUAGAGUGCGGUAGAGGGUGGUGGAAUUCCCGGUGUAGCAGUGAAAUGCGUAGAGAUCGGGAGGAACAUCAGUUGCGAAGGCGGCCACCUGGACCAGCACUAACACUGAGGCACGAAAGCGUGGGGAGCAAACAGG